rnacentral:rRNA from 1 species
CGCGUGUGUGAAGAAGGCCUUUUGGUUGUAAAGCACUUUAAGCAGGGAAGAAGACUCUUCGGUUAAUACCCGGAGACGAUGACAUUAGCUGCAGAAUAAGCACCGGCUAACUCUGUGCCAGCAGCCGCGGUAAUACAGAGGGUGCAAGCGUUAAUCGGAAUUACUGGGCGUAAAGCGAGCGUAGGUGGCUUGAUAAGUCAGAUGUGAAAUCCCCGGGCUUAACCUGGGAACUGCAUCUGAAACUGUUAGGCUAGAGUAGGUGAGAGGGAAGUAGAAUUUCAGGUGUAGCGGUGAAAUGCGUAGAGAUCUGAAGGAAUACCGAUGGCGAAGGCAGCUUCCUGGCAUCAUACUGACACUGAGGCUCGAAAGCGUGGGUAGCAAACAGGAUUAGAUACCCUGGUAGUCCACGCCGUAAACGAUGUCUACUAGUCGUUGGGUCCCUUGAGGACUUAGUGACGCAGCUAACGCAAUAAGUAGACCGCCUGGGGAGUACGGCCGCAAGGUUAAAACUCAAAUGAAUUGACGGGGGCCCGCACAAGCGGUGGAGCAUGUGGUUUAAUUCGAUGCAACGCGAAGAACCUUACCUGGUCUUGACAUAUCUAGAAUCCUGCAGAGAUGCGGGAGUGCCUUCGGGAAUUAGAAUACAGGUGCUGCAUGGCUGUCGUCAGCUCGUGUCGUGAGAUGUUGGGUUAAGUCCCGCAACGAGCGCAACCC